GCCAGGCAUGGUGGUGCAUGCCUGUAAUCCCAGCUACUCAGGAGGCUGAGGCAGGAGAAUUGCUUGAACCCGGGAGGUGAAGGUUGCAGUGAGCUGAGAUCAUGUUACUGCACUCCAGCCUGGGUGAGAGAGUAAGACUCUGUCUCAA
rfam:Pan troglodytes isolate Yerkes chimp pedigree #C0471 (Clint) chromosome 22, whole genome shotgun sequence.